GGAUAAUCGUGCUGUGAACAAAGAGGAUAAGGUAGGUAGGGUCGGCGAGACGAAAGGAGAAGAAGCGGAAGCGAAACGGGUUAAAGAGUGUCGAGAGGCUGAGGUGGCCCGGGGGGAGGAGAAGCACGGCAGACGAGGAAGAGGAGGCAUCAUGAGUCAGCAGUAUUUCACCGGUUCAUCCUGAGGAGAAUCGAGCAUGUGAACGCUGUGGCUGUCAUCCUUCCUGUGACGUGCUCCUCAUUUGCAUUCGCCGACCUGCCCUUUUCCCCACUCGGUCUUCAGGUACCCACAUGAUGCCCACCAAACAGAAGGACCUGCCAGAAGGCAGAAGAACUGCGGUGCAAGGGUGUAGCUGCUGAUUCUAUACACCACAGCAGAGAGGCUGAGGAGCCACGUCAGGUGUCACCGCUCCGCCACCCGACUUGAGCCUGCAGAACCAAGACAUCCACCGCUGGUUCCAAAGUAUCAAGGCCAGUUCUCUGCCUCGCCGAGCCAACCGGCCCAUGCGUCUGCCCAGCCGGGCCUAGUCUGCCCUGCCCUGCCCAGCAGCUGGCAUCCUGCAGGAGUCAUCAGGGUUAGUGCUCGGCUGGCACACCUCAGUGUGCGAAUCAGCAAGGCAGGAACUUGUAAAUUUAUAGAUGUGCACUCAAACACCAGGCCAAACAAUCCAUCUUGCAUAAGCGAAAGAAGGGUGGAGUGCGUAAGCUUUAAAACACAUCAGUCACAAAAGUAGAUCGUAAGCCAUUUUUUUCCUAAAUUUAAAGCACCGAGACAGAAAUGACUCUACAUAAGGACGAUAUGCUCUUUUUAACCACACAUUAUACAAGAUAAACGGCCGUCUCUCGUUUCUAUAUCUACAUUUCUACCCGUCAUUAUCAGGCUGCACACACGGAGAUUAUACACAUGGCCCUAUUAGCUAUUUGGUUUAUAAUUCCAAUACUGCAAGUUUGAGCAUUUUGCGCAGUUCAUCGGGAAGACACUGCAGGGGGAAAAAAAAAAGACAAAGCUUCAACUAAAUGACUGUCGGUCUUAUCGGGACGUGUGGGCGAGGAAACGCGUGCGUGGACCACCAACGGGCUCGUGCGUUGAAAUCUCUGCCCUUGCCUCUAAUGCAUCUGUCAGCCUAAAAGUGUUCAGUCAGAGGGAGUGUACAUCUGAUGCCUGUGAAUGACAGGGAGCAUAUUUGAAUUGAAUGUGCAUUACAUCAGCACUUUUCUUUUUGCAGUCUUUCAUGCACACUUUAGUUUAGUGGGUUCCAUUUAAAAAUGUUACUCGAAUUGCAAUAUAGGUGCAAAAUGCUUUUGUUAAAUUACUGCUAUUCUUCCCGAGUAUUUGCUUCCCUUCAAAAGAGGCCUUAUUCUUCUCACCGAGUUAAAAAUAACACUUGAAAGGAGAAAAGCAUCAUCUUGAUUUUAUUGAUGUUCACACUUUUAGUACAGGGAAUUUAAGGACGACAACCUGUGUGUGAGCAUGUAUGUUAAUGCGUCUUUGUGUACCUGCCAUUUAGCCUCGAGUAAAUGAGAAAAUGAAUGCACGCUUAUCGCAGCCAAUUGCGACAGAUUCUUAAUAAAUGGACACAAAACGCGGUCAUUGCUAUUUAUGUGCAUGCUGACACUGUAUAACCUCGCAGCGUUUUGCCGCCAUUGAAGCAAGCGCAAAAAAAAAUAAACCGGGUCAUAAUCCGGAUUUUGUGCAUUACUGUAAUUUCUCGCCUCUUGAAAAUUCAGUGGCAGCAAAUGGGGGAGAAAAGACGAUGCGUCUUGAGUGGGUGUGCGGAGGUCUGCAGCUUCCAGGGUGGGGAGGAUGCUCGCCUACCCUUCUGGCUUCCAUCCCGAGCGUAGACAACAGACGUCGUCAUUUUCCAACUCGAUUUACAGAUGCAUUAGGAGAUGCCGAGGCGCACCCAUCUCUCUCAAAUGCAAUCAGGCCUCCUUUGUGCUUUAAGAGGAAAUUGAGGGUGCCGUCGUUAUCGACUUUCUUUCCCACUUCUCCUUCAUGUAGGCUCGCCUUUUCUGCCAACGUAACGUACACGGAUGCUUACGGACUCUUUAAUGAUUCGUCUUUACUCGCUUGUCGCCUUUUUGGGCGGGUUUAAAAGGGUAAAGAUGGAUCUUGAAAGACAAUUUUUAAAGGUCUGUCAUAUAGAUUGAACAAGGUAGGUUCUAUGCAUAAGCGGAUUUUAAGGAUAUUAAAAAAAAAAAAAAAAAUAUAUAUAUAUAUAUAUAUAUAUAUAUAUAUAUAUAUAUAUAUUAGGGCUGUCAAAAUGAUCGCGAUAACGAGCGGUAAUUAAUUUUUUAAAUUAAUCCCGUUAAAAUAUUUGACGCAAUUAACGCACAAAUGCCCCGCUCAAACAGAUUAAAAUGAGAGCACAGUGAAAGGUGUACUUGUUGUGGGCCCUUGGGUACGACUGAUAUUAUAGGCUUCAGCACCCAUGAGCAUUGUGUAAGUAAUUAUUGACAUCAACAAUGGCGGGCUACUAGUUUAUUUUUUGAUUGAAAAUUUUACAAAUAUUAUUGAAACGAAAACAUGAAGAGGGGUUUUGAUAUAAAAUUUCUAUAACUUGUCUUUUAAGAACUACGUCUUUCUAUCCAUGGAUUGCUUUUACAGAAUGUCAAUACUGGUAAUGCCAUCUUGUUGAUUUAUUGUUAUAAUAAAGAAAUACAGUACUUAUGUACCGUAUGUUGAAUGUAUAUAUCCAUCUUGUGUCUUAUCUUUCCAUUCCAAAAAUAAUUUACAGAA